CGGGACACGUGGUAUCCUGUCUGAAUAUGGGGGGACCAUCCUCCAAGGCUAAAUACUCCUGACUGACCGAUAGUGAACCAGUACCGUGAGGGAAAGGCGAAAAGAACCCCGGCGAGGGGAGUGAAAAAGAACCUGAAACCGUGUACGUACAAGCAGUGGGAGCACAGAGCAAUCUGUGUGACUGCGUACCUUUUGUAUAAUGGGUCAGCGACUUAUAUUCUGUAGCAAGGUUAACCGAAUAGGGGAGCCGAAGGGAAACCGAGUCUUAACUGGGCGUUAAGUUGCAGGGUAUAGACCCGAAACCCGGUGAUCUAGCCAUGGGCAGGUUGAAGGUUGGGUAACACUAACUGGAGGACCGAACCGACUAAUGUUGAAAAAUUAGCGGAUGACUUGUGGCUGGGGGUGAAAGGCCAAUCAAACCGGGAGAUAGCUGGUUCUCCCCGAAAGCUAUUUAGGUAGCGCCUCGUGAAUUCAUCUCCGGGGGUAGAGCACUGUUUCGGCAAGGGGGUCAUCCCGACUUACCAACCCGAUGCAAACUGCGAAUACCGGAGAAUGUUAUCACGGGAGACACACGGCGGGUGCUAACGUCCGUCGUGAAGAGGGAAACAACCCAGACCGCCAGCUAAGGUCCCAAAGUCAUGGUUAAGUGGGAAACGAUGUGGGAAGGCCCAGACAGCCAGGAUGUUGGCUUAGAAGCAGCCAUCAUUUAAAGAAAGCGUAAUAGCUCACUGGUCGAGUCGGCCUGCGCGGAAGAUGUAACGGGGCUAAACCAUGCACCGAAGCUGCGGCAGCGACACUAUGUGUUGUUGGGUAGGGGAGCGUUCUGUAAGCCUGUGAAGGUGUGCUGUGAGGCAUGCUGGAGGUAUCAGAAGUGCGAAUGCUGACAUAAGUAACGAUAAAGCGGGUGAAAAGCCCGCUCGCCGGAAGACCAAGGGUUCCUGUCCAACGUUAAUCGGGGCAGGGUGAGUCGACCCCUAAGGCGAGGCCGAAAGGCGUAGUCGAUGGGAAACAGGUUAAUAUUCCUGUACUUGGUGUUACUGCGAAGGGGGGACGGAGAAGGCUAUGUUGGCCGGGCGACGGUUGUCCCGGUUUAAGCGUGUAGGCUGGUUUUCCAGGCAAAUCCGGAAAAUCAAGGCUGAGGCGUGAUGACGAGGCACUACGGUGCUGAAGCAACAAAUGCCCUGCUUCCAGGAAAAGCCUCUAAGCAUCAGGUAACAUCAAAUCGUACCCCAAACCGACACAGGUGGUCAGGUAGAGAAUACCAAGGCGCUUGAGAGAACUCGGGUGAAGGAACUAGGCAAAAUGGUGCCGUAACUUCGGGAGAAGGCACGCUGAUAUGUAGGUGAAGCGACUUGCUCGUGGAGCUGAAAUCAGUCGAAGAUACCAGCUGGCUGCAACUGUUUAUUAAAAACACAGCACUGUGCAAACACGAAAGUGGACGUAUACGGUGUGACGCCUGCCCGGUGCCGGAAGGUUAAUUGAUGGGGU
rnacentral:rRNA from 1 species